GAUCCUCCUGAUUUCAUAGUCAUAUUACCUUGAUAUUUUCAAGAUUCCUGAUUUUAAUUGUUAUGCAAAUAGUUACCAGGUCCUUUUUGAAGUACUUAGUUCAAGUACUAGGUGGGACAUUUUUAGGAACCAUUUAAUUUGAAAGCAAAGAUCCGUAUAGGUAUUUGAAAAAUGCCCCAGUUACAUCAGUUGAUGUGGAAAGAAGUUUUUUCAUUUACAAAUAUAUUGUACCUACUCAGAAACCAUAAGUUUUUGUUAGAAAAUUUUAAACAGCCGUUAAUCAUUUAGUCUUCUUCUUCUUCUUCCACUCUAUAAGCAAUUCUGCUUGUUCAUUGGCGGAUUGGAUACCUUUAUGGAAGGUUGUCACUCCAUCUUUUGCGCGGUCGGCCGAUACUUAUUCUGCCGAUUGGUGAUUUAUCUCGUGUUAUUUUGACCACACGUGUCUCCCCCAUUCUGGUUAUGUGUCUGUUCCAUUCUUUUUUUCUAUUUAGUGUCCAUUCGUUUAUACACUGUACGUUACAUUGUCUUCUAAUAUCUUCGCUCCUCUUUCGUUCUCUCAGUGUAUUUGUAACGUUACAAACGUCACAUCUUUGAUAUUUUAUUUUUAAAUAAUUAUUUUAUCUUAUUUUCUUUAAUAUUUCAUUAAUAAUUAUCUUCUUCUAAUUGGUUUACCCAUUUUCCCCUUUAAAAAUCGGUUGGCGCUCUCUUUUAUUACCCUCUUUUAUUAUCUUCUAUUUAAUAUAUCUCUUUCAUUUAAAUCAUCAUACUGAACAUACCUCGUAUAUUCAUACUCUCCAAAUAUCUGUAUUUUCAAUACGGAACAGGUCGCUACUUCAUAGUACUUGGUUGUCAUUUUAAAUGUCGUUUUCAAUGACAGUGUCACUUCAUCGACUUGACCCCCUACUCCCUGACAUACACUGGAAGGGAAAAAUUAAUCCUUAAAAAGGCAUGUAAUUCGAAAAAUAAAUCAUUUUAUUUCAACAAAUCAUCUUCCUCUUGGGUUUUUUGGAAAGAGAUCAACCUUUCCCUCUUCGGGAACCUAAGCCUCACAUCACCGGUGAUGCACACUUGAAGGCGAAGACAAUGACAUCCAGACUGCACAACCACCACCUCUAGCUGCAGGGGCCUUGCGCCGAAGAUCCGCCCAGGCCUACGAGAAGUCUACAACAGCAGUACCAUACGACAUCAAGAAGAUACCAUCAGCUACCAAAAGCCAUAAGUAUAAUCCAGAAUUGUUAGUUUUUGGCAAGAAUUUAAAUACAUUUGUUAAUGCAAUUUACUAAGUCAUUUUAUUUAUUAUAUCUUUAUGAACAAUAAACAUGAUUAGUUAAAAACUA